CUCAUAAAUAGGCACCAUCUCAGGUUCCAGUUCUUUGCUACCACAAAAGAGCGAAUAUAAAGACUUUGAUACUGAUGCAAGUUGUUCCAGGGAUGCUGCUGAGAAGCUGAUGGGAAGAUGAAAGGAGGAAAGGAGUAAAGGGAAGGAAGCCAAGGUCUUAGACUAUCCCCCACUAACUUCACCCACUCAAAGUGAUUCCUUCUUAGAGGCACCCCAUUUGAAGAAAGACAUUGAUACCAACAGGGGAUUCAGUGAAUGACAACCAAGGUGGAGAGGACACGUGGAACCAUGUACUAUGAAGGAACAAUUGAAGAAGAUAGAGAUGUUAGAUACAGAAGAAGAUAGAAGAGAAAGCUC